rnacentral:rRNA from 1 species
UGGGGAAUAUUGGACAAUGGGGGGAACCCUGAUCCAGCCAUGCCGCGUGUGUGAAGAAGGCCUUAUGGUUGUAAAGCACUUUAAGCUGGGGGGAGGGUACUGGUAUUAAUACUACCACCUACUGGACGUUACUCGCAGAUUAAGCACCGGCUAACUCUGUGCAAGCAGCCGCGGUAAUACAGAGGGUGCGGGCGUUAAUCGGAUUUACUGGGCGUAAAGCGUGCGUAGGCGGCUAAUUGAGUCGGAUGUGAAAUCCCCGAGCUUAACUUGGGAAUUGCAUUCGAUACUGGUUAGCUAGAGUGUGGGAGAGGAUGGUAGAAUUCCAGGUGUAGCGGUGAAAUGCGUAGAGAUCUGGAGGAAUACCGAUGGCGAAGGCAGCCAUCUGGCCUAACACUGACGCUGAGGUACGAAAGCAUGGGGAGCAAACAGG